GACGAACGCUGGCGGCGUGCUUAACACAUGCAAGUCGAACGGAAAGGCCCUGCUUUUAGGGUACUCGAGUUGCGAACGGGUGAGUAACACGCGGGUGAUCUGCCCUCCACUUCGGCUUAAGCCUGGGCAACUGGGUCUAAUACCGGCCAGGAGCCAUUUUUAGCGUGAUGGUUGGAAAGUUUUUUCGGUGUAUGAUGAGCUCGCGGCCUAUCAGCUUGUUGGUGGGGUAAUGGGCUACCAAGGCGGCGUCGUGUAGCCGGCCUGCGUGGGUGGACUGCCACACAGGGUCUGAGGUGCGGCCCAGGCAGGGACUGGAGGGAGCAGGGCGGAAUACUGCACGAUGGGCGCAGGGCGGGUGCAGAGAGUCCGCGUGGGGGAUGACGGUCUUCGGGGUGUAAAACACUUGUGCAAGGGACUAAGCUCUUUGUGACGGUACCUAGAUAGAAAGCACCGGCUAACUACGUG
rnacentral:rRNA from 1 species